rnacentral:rRNA from 1 species
CGGUUUGUCGCGUCUGCUGUGAAAUCUGGGGGCUCAACCCCCAGCCUGCAGUGGGUACGGGCAGACUAGAGUGCGGUAGGGGAGAUUGGAAUUCCUGGUGUAGCGGUGGAAUGCGCAGAUAUCAGGAGGAACACCGAUGGCGAAGGCAGAUCUCUGGGCCGUAACUGACGCUGAGGAGCGAAAGGGUGGGGAGCAAACAGGCUUAGAUACCCUGGUAGUCCACCCCGUAAACGUUGGGAACUAGUUGUGGGGUCCAUUCCACGGAUUCCGUGACGCAGCUAACGCAUUAAGUUCCCCGCCUGGGGAGUACGGCCGCAAGGCUAAAACUCAAAGGAAUUGACGGGGACCCGCACAAGCGGCGGAGCAUGCGGAUUAAUUCGAUGCAACGCGAAGAACCUUACCAAGGCUUGACAUACACGAGAACGCUGCAGAAAUGUAGAACUCUUUGGACACUCGUGAACAGGUGGUGCAUGGUUGUCGUCAGCUCGUGUCGUGAGAUGUUGGGUUAAGUCCCGCAACGGGCGCAAACCCUCGUUCUAUGUUGCCAGCACGUAAUGGUGGGAACUCAUGGGAUACUGCCGGGGUCAACU